GUGGGGAAUAUUGGACAAUGGGCGAAAGCCUGAUCCAGCAAUGCCGCGUGAGUGAUGAAGGCCUUAGGGUUGUAAAGCUCUUUUACCCGGGAAGAUAAUGACUGUACCGGGAGAAUAAGCCCCGGCUAACUCCGUGCCAGCAGCCGCGGUAAUACGGAGGGGGCUAGCGUUGUUCGGAAUUACUGGGCGUAAAGCGCACGUAGGCGGUUUUGUAAGUUAGAGGUGAAAGCCUGGGGCUCAACCCCAGAAUUGCCUUUAAGACUGCAUCACUUGAACGUCGGAGAGGUGAGUGGAAUUCCGAGUGUAGAGGUGAAAUUCGUAGAUAUUCGGAAGAACACCAGUGGCGAAGGCGGCUCACUGGCUCGAUACUGACGCUGAGGUGCGAAAGCGUGGGGAGCAAACAGGAUUAGAAACCCGGGUAGUCC
rnacentral:rRNA from 1 species